GCGUAGGCGGUCUUUCAAGUCAGGAGUGAAAGGCUACGGCUCAACCGUAGUAAGCUCUUGAAACUGGGAGACUUGAGUGCAGGAGAGGAGAGUGGAAUUCCUAGUGUAGCGGUGAAAUGCGUAGAUAUUAGGAGGAACACCAGUGGCGAAGGCGGCUCUCUGGACUGUAACUGACGCUGAGGCACGAAAGCGUGGGGAGCAAACAGGAUUAGAUACCCUGGUAGUCCACGCUGUAAACGAUGAGUACUAGGUGUCGGGGGUUACCCCCCUCG
rnacentral:rRNA from 1 species